CACGUAGGAGGCGAGCGUUGUCCGGAAUCAUUGGGCGUAAAGAGCGCGCAGGCGGCUUGGCAAGUCGGGUGUGAAAUCCCGGGGCUCAACCCCGUGACUGCAUCCGAUACUGUCAGGCUAGAGGUAGGUAGGGGAGAUCGGAAUUCCUGGUGUAGCGGUGAAAUGCGCAGAUAUCAGGAGGAACACCGGUGGCGAAGGCGGAUCUCUGGGCCUUACCUGACGCUCAUGCACGAAAGCGUGGGGAGCAAACAGG
rnacentral:rRNA from 1 species